rnacentral:rRNA from 1 species
AUACGUAGGUGGCAAGCGUUAUCCGGAAUUACUGGGUGUAAAGGGCGCGCAGGCGGCCUUGCAAGUCGGAUGUGAAAGAUCAAGGCUCAACCUUGACAGGUCAUCCGAAACUGUAAGACUUGAGUGUCAGAGGGGAAAGUGGAAUUCCUAGUGGAGCGGUAAAAUGCGCAGAUAUUAGGAGGAACACCGGUGGCGAAGGCGACUUUCUGGCUGACAACUGACGCUGAGGCGCGAAAGCGUGGGGAGCAAACAGGAUUAGAUACCCUGGUAGUCCACGCCGUAAACGAUGAUUACUAGGUGUAGGGGGUAUCGACUCCCUCUGUGCCACAGUUAACGCAGUAAGUAAUCCACCUGGGGAGUACGGCCGCAAGGUUAAAACUCAAAUGAAUUGACGGGG